UACGGGGGGGGCAAGCGUUGUUCGGAAUUACUGGGCGUAAAGGGCUCGUAGGCGGCCAACUAAGUCAGACGUGAAAUCCCUCGGCUUAACCGGGGAACUGCGUCUGAUACUGGAUGGCUUGAGUUUGGGAGAGGAAUGCGGAAUUCCAGGUGUAGCGGUGAAAUGCGUAGAUAUCUGGAGGAACACCGGUGGCGAAGGCGGCAUCCUGGACCAACACUGACGCUGAGUGAGCGAAAGCCAGGGGAGCAAACGGG
rnacentral:rRNA from 1 species